AUGGGGACCAAACGUCCCAGUCUGACUCCCUUUGAUACAUUUGAUCCAUCCAAUCAAAGCGCUUCCUACCGGAACCCUCAGCCAAUCAGCCAGAUCUACCGCGAAACAAGUCCCAGACCUGGAACUGUGGCCCGGACAGACCGAGACAGGGAGAGGAUCCAAGAGGAGGAAUGGAGGAGAGAAAGAGAAAUGGAGAGAUUGAAGGACAAAACAAGAAAUAGAAGAAAAGAGAUGGAACCCGGACCAAGAGAGAGGAACAGAGAGAAGGAGUGUGCCCUCAUAUCCAGAGGGAGGGAGGAGGAAAGGGAAUGGAGAGAGAGAGAAAGGGGGGGAGCGGGAGAGAGACGUGCCAAUGGAAGACCUACUUCAAAUCUGGAGAUCAGGAACCACAGAGACAGAGAAAAGGAGAGAAAGAAAGGAGACACGUUUCCUAGAAUGGUAAAACAUAGCAAAGAGAGAGACAGAAGAAUACGUGCAUUUGUGGAGGAAGAUGUGGGGAAAGAAGGAAUGAGACAAUUGGAGAGACCGAAGGGAACAGAGAUGGACGACUGGGAGAGAGAACGAGAGACAGCAGCAAAGAUACAGCGGUAUCGAGAUGCAGAGAGGGACUUCCAAAGGCACAGAGAGAGGGAGAGGGAGAAGGAGAGAAUCGGGGCACAGGAGGACAGAGAGAGAAAUGGAGGAAAGCCCAUGGAGGAUAAGACAGUGAGACGGAGGGAGAGAGCGAGGGAAGCGGAGCCAGAUUUCAGAGAGAGGAGAAGAGAGAGGGACUCAAAGGGUAAUGACCUACGGAGCAAAAGAGAGAGGUAUAUGGAUGGAGAGAGAGAGAGGUCAAAACUCUGGCAGGGAGAAAGAGAGGAUGGAAGAAGAGAGGGAGAUUCACAGAACUAUUCCGAUAGAGAGGGCAGGGAUGGAAGGAGGGAAGGAAAUACAGAGGGACAGAGGGACACCAGGAGUGAGGGAGACAGUGAUGGAGAGAAGAGGAAAGAGAGAGUGAGAGAUGACAACAGAAGAGAACUGAAACAUCUGCACAGUAAAAGUGAGGGGGACACUGAGGGGAACGCAGCAUGGGAUAGAGUGAGGGAGAAAGAGAAGGAGAGACAGAAAUGGAGAGGGGGGGAGAUAUACAGAGAGAGGGAUGGAAGGAGAGAUGCUUAUAGAGAGAGAGUUAGGGAAGGGGACAGGGAUGGAAAGAGUGACAUGGAGAGAUACAGAGAGAGGGACAGGAGAAAAGUGAGGGAAGUGGAGAGAGAGAGGGAUGAGGUGAGAGAAGGGGGCAGGCGAGAGGACAGACCAAGGGAAAGGAGGGACCUAGAGAAAGUGAGGGUGGGAACACAGCCCAAUGUAACUGGAGAGAGAAGGAAGCGGAUGGAUGGAGAGAGAUUCAGAGAGAGGGAGAGAUAUUCCAAGGGGGAGGAUGAAGAGAGGAGGCGCAGGGAGAAGAGGGACAGAGAGACAGAUCUCAAAAGGGAGGGAGGAGCAGACGGAGCUAGUCGAUCGCUGAGCGAGACAGCCCCAAGGGUGCCACCACGAGUCCAGAGCAGCGGAGAAUGGAGCAGUGACAUAGAGAAGGAAAGAAAAUGGAGAAGAGGAAGAGAAAGUCAUGAAGAGAAGGAGUCAGAGGGAGAGAAGGAUGUGGACAGGGGGCAGAGAGACUGUAGUGAAAGAGAGAGACCAGAUAGAGUGAGGGGGAGAGAAGAAGGAAAGGAAGAGACGAUACCAAAGCGCCCUGAGCAGAGGAGGAUGUGGUUAUUACCACAGAGGGUCAGAUAUAACAAAGACUCCUCUUUAGAGGAUGAGGUUAUAGAGCGAGAAAGAGAUAGGCACACUAACAGAUGGAGAGAGAGAAGUGAAGAAGAGGACAGAUCCGUGGAACAAAGGACAGGCAGAGAAAAAGAGAGGAAGACAGAGGGAGAAGGACAAGAGGACAGAUCCGUGGAACAAAGGACAGGCAGAGAAAAAGAGAGGAAGACAGAGGGAGAAGGACAAGAGGACAGAUCCGUGGAACAAAGGACAGGCAGAGAAAAAGAGAGGAAGACAGAGGGAGAAGGACAAGAGGACAGAUCCGUGGAACAAAGGACAGGCAGAGAAAAAGAGAGGAAGACAGAGGGAGAAGGACAAGAGGAUAGGCCGGUGGAACAAAGAAAGUCCAUAGACGAAGAGAGAGAAGCUGAGAGGGAGGGAGGGAGGGAGAGGUAUUUGGAGAGAGGGUUAAAUGUAGAUGAAGACGAUGAGACAGAAGCCUGGAGGAGUUAUAGCAGAGGAGAGGAACACCAGACUUACAGCGAUGGAGAGAGAGAGGAACGCUGGCAGAGGGACAGGGAGACGGAGAGAGAGAAUGUGACAGAUAACACAGAAGGUGACAGUGAGGAAGAAGGAGGAAGUGAUAGAUAUACACUCUUCGAGAGCGAUGGAGGAAGUGAUAGAGAGUGGGAAGGAGGGAGGGAUAGAAUCGCUUCCUCUGAGGACGGCUUUAUCACUGUGUCCAGUGGUGGAGAAGAGGAGUUUGAGGACUGCAAGGAAUUCUUGGAAGUUGGGGUUGCUAUUCAUGUUACCAGGCAACCUGUUAGCUUUCAGGGGAGCGAGGGAGAGAUGAAGAGAGGUGGAGGGAGAAGACAUGAAAGAGAGAGAGAAAGAACAGAAGAGAGGACAGAGCAAAAGGAUGAUGCAGUGGUGGGAGAGGUGAAUGAUGGAAAGGGGAAGAAGCAACCAACCUAUGUAUUCUGUGUGAUUGGGCAAACACUGCCCAGGUCAAAACCCAAUCAGACAGCAGUCUUGGGUGACAUGGAAUCAGAGCGGACCAAUCAAAAUCCUGGAUAUGGUCAUAGGGACAGUGAUGACAUCACACACCUCCCUCAUGAGAACCCUUCCAGAGAUGGAGACCAAGGGGCAGAGGAUGAGAGAAAAAUAGUGAGGGAUGAGAUCCAUGUGCCAAAGGAGGAGAGAACAGACACAGAAGAGAGCUCCAUAGUGGACGUCAGUCACACCACCCUAGAACAAGAGAGCGGAGAACGACUGAAGGUCAUGGAGGAGAACCCAUACGCUGAGAUAGAGCGAAGGAGGAACUCUGAGACCGAAAAACUCCUCAAAGAGUGGAGAGAAAGACAUGAAGAGUACACAGAAACAAGAGAGAGGGACCCAACAGACAGGAGGAGGACAGAACCAGAGAUAGGUCCAUCUUCACAUCCCAGUGGAGAGUACCACCACCAUGGGAUCCCUGUAGUUGACCAAGCCACCUCUGACCAAAAUGACCCUGGAGUGAUGAGCCCAGAGGAAGCUGUGGCCAUCCAAAUCUGUAUAAGUGAAGCCUGGAGCACAGAAGAGGAGGCCAAGCGCCACUCCCAGCCCUCACACAUGAAGUGGGCCAAGAACGUAUUGAGCGAAAUCCUUGGCAGCUCGGAGGAACCAGCCCUCAGCAACCCCCAGCCAGAGUCACAGGGAAGUCAAGAGGUCAGCCAGACUGCGAGAGGGACCGAGAGGGUAGAAGAGGAGCUAGAGGAAGAAAAGGAUGAGACGCUAGAGGGGGGAGGAGCCUCAACCGUCUACGCCACGGUUCAGAAGAGGAAGAAGCGUGGGAGGAAGUCGGUGGAGGAGAGGCUGGUUGAACGGGAGGCAGAGCCAGGGAAGCUGGAGGAUGAGAGAGGUACAGGGGAGAAACUAACAGACGUGCAUGCUGAGGCUUUCACAGCUAUGCUUGGUGAUGGCAAACCCAUAGACAUGCAUGCUGCUCUGACCCUACACAAUACUCAUGGUGACACACCUACAGACACACAGGGAGAGGAGGUGGAGGGUAACAAUGUGUGUGCGGACAGACAAACAGACAGUCAUAUACAUAUCCAGGUAGAGAUGGUGACAGAGGAUGAGGGUGAGAUGGAGAAAGGGGUCGAAGUUGGGGACGAGGUUCAUAUACUGGAUGCAGAGAAAGAAGCGAAUUCCCAGAAAGAGGAAGAUCUGUUUCUCUCUGUGAGCAACACCCUGUACAAACCAACCAGCUGCCCCAGCCUUAUAUACAACCCUGAUUCAGAACAACCUAUCACCACCACAGAGGAAAAGACGGAGGAAGAAGGGGAGAAAGAGAGGACUGUGGGAGAUGGGGAAGAGAAUAGUGUGGUAGAGAGGAAGCAGGAAAGAAGGAUCGAGGAUGGGACCGAGGACAUUGGGAAAGUGGGAGAGGCGACUGAGGAAAGGAAAGUGGAAAGGGAGGAGGAGAAGAGGGUAGGAGGGGAAGAGGAGAGGAUGAGGGAGGGCAAGGAAGAGAGUAAAAAAACGGGAGGAGGGGGGGUGAAGAGCACUUGUAGCUUCCAAGAUUUGGGCACCGAUGUUCGGUAUAGGAGGCGGGGGUUCCGCAAGACAACAGAAAGAAGAAACGAGGAAGAAGAAGAAGGAAGAGGAGAUGCGAGGGAUCGCAGAACAAGAAUAUUCCAGGCGUCAGGUGAUGAUGAUGAGGAGGAGGAGGUGAACUUCAACUGGGGAGAUGUGGAUCUGAGGAAUGUCACGGAUACCAUCAGAAUGGCUAGGAGGAACUCCAAAUUUUACAGUGAGUAUCUCUGCUUUACCUCUACUGCACUACUUCUACUGCACUACUUCUACUGCACUACCUCUACUGCACUACCUCUACUGCUCUACUUCUACUGCAUUACUUCUACUGCUCUACUUCUACUGCACUACCUCUACUGCACUACCUCUACUGCUCUACUUCUACUGCACUACCUCUACUGCACUACCUCUACUGCUCUACUUCUACUGCACUACCUCUACUGCUCUACUUCUACUGCACUACUUCUACUGCACUACCUCUACUGCACUACCUCUACUGCUCUACUUCUACUGCUCUACUUCUACUGCACUACUUCUACUGCACUACUUCUACUGCACUACUUCUACUGCACUACCUCUACUGCACUACUUCUACUGCUCUACUUCUACUGCACUACCUCUACUGCACUACUUCUACUGCACUACUUCUACUGCACUACCUCUACUGCACUACUUCUACUGCUCUACUUCUACUGCACUACCUCUACUGCACUACCUCUACUGCUCUACUUCUACUGCACUACUUCUACUGCACUACCUCUACUGCUCUACUUCUACUGCACUACUUCUACUGCACUACCUCUACUGCACUACCUCUACUGCUCUACUUCUACUGCACUACUUCUACUGCACUACCUCUACUGCACUACCUCUACUGCACUACCUCUACUGCUCUACUUCUACUGCACUACUUCUACUGCACUACCUCUACUGCUCUACUUCUACUGCACUACCUCUACUGCACUACCUCUACUGCUCUACUUCUACUGCACUACCUCUACUGCACUACCUCUACCUCUACUGCACUACCUCUACUUCUACUGCACUACCUCUUCUUCUACUGCACUACCUCUUCCUCUACUGCACUACCUCUACCUCUACUGCACUACCUCUACUUCUACUGCACUGCCUCUACCUCUACUGCACUACCUCUACUGCACUACCUCUACUUCUACUGCACUACCUCUACUUCUACUGCACUACCUCUACUUCUACUGCACUACCUCUACUUCUACUGCACUACCUCUACUUCUACUGCACUACCUCUACUUCUACUGCACUACCUUUACCUCUACUGCACUACCUCUACUUCUACUGCACUACCUCUUCUUCUACUGCACUACCUCUACUGCACUACUUCUACUGCACUACCUCUACUACACUACCUUUACUGCACUACUUGUACUGCUCUACUUCUACUGCACUACUUCUACUGCACUACCUCUACUGCACUACCUCUACUACACUACCUCUACUGCACUACCUCUACUACACUACCUUUACUGCACUACCUUUACUGCACUACCUCUACUACACUACCUUUACUGCACUACUUGUACUGCUCUACUUCUACUGCUCUACUUCUACUGCUCUACUUCUACUGCACUACCUCUACUACCUACCUUUACUGCUCUACCUCUACUACACUACCUUUACUGCACUACCUCUACUACCUACCUUUACUGCACUACUUCUACUGCUCUACCUCUACUGCACUACCUCUACUACACUACCUUUACUGCACUACUUGUACUGCUCUACUUCUACUGCACUACUUCUACUGCACUACCUCUACUGCACUACCUCUACUGCACUACCUCUACUACACUACCUCUACUGCUCUACUUGUACUGCUCUACUUCUACUGCACUACCUUUACUGCAUUACUUCUACUGCUCUACUUCUACUGCACUACCUCUACUACCUACCUUUACUGCACUACCUCUACUACCUACCUUUACUGCACUACCUCUACUGCUCUACCUCUACUACACUACCUUUACUGCACUACCUCUACUACCUACCUUUACUGCACUACCUCUACUACCUACCUUUACUGCACUACCUCUACUGCUCUACCUUUACUGCACUACCUUUACUGCAUUACUUCUACUGCUCUACUUCUACUGCACUACCUCUACUACCUACCUUUACUGCUCUACCUCUACUACACUACCUUUACUGCACUACCUCUACUACCUACCUUUACUGCACUACUUCUACUGCUCUACCUCUACUGCACUACCUUUACUACACUACCUUUACUGCACUACUUGUACUGCUCUACUUCUACUGCACUACCUCUACUGCACUACCUCUACUACACUACCUAUACUGCACUACUUGUACUGCUCUACUUCUACUGCACUACUUCUACUGCACUACCUUUACUGCAUUACUUCUACUGCUCUACUUCUACUGCACUACCUCUACUACCUACCUUUACUGCACUACUUGUACUGCUCUACUUCUACUGCUCUACCUCUACUGCACUACCUCUACUACACUACCUUUACUGCACUACUUGUACUGCUCUACUUCUACUGCUCUACUUCUACUGCACUACCUCUACUGCUCUACUUCUACUGCUCUACCUCUUCCUCUACUGCUCUACCUCUUCCUCUUCCUCUACUGCUCUGCCUCUCUUUUCUCUCCUUCAUCCCUGAGGCACUCACAUCCACUUUCACACAUCCACUUCUCUGA
rnacentral:lncRNA from 1 species